rnacentral:lncRNA from 1 species
GUAACCUCACUUUUGUUUAAUUUUCGAUGUAGAGACGCGAAAAAAUGGAAAAAACUCAGUCUACAAUAUAUAUUUGGACUAUCAUUGCACACUAACUCCUACACAAUGAACGUACUGUGUAGUAAAUAGGAUUCCAGUCUCCAACGCACCAUAAAACUUUCAAAAGCAAUAAAAUUCUACUUUGCAUAAUAAUACAUCAUCUGAAGUCGGAC